CUGAGCUGCUUCUCCAGCUCUGCGAUCUUGGCCAUGGAUUCGUUCUCCGCGUCCCGAAGCCGCUCUGUCAGCUGUAGCACCAGCACAUGCUUUACAUGAAAGAGAGAAGCCAGAGUACCACUACAGUAUGUGCAGCAUUGGGGACAGAACCAGGAAUCUCAGGCAUGCAAGUCCUAUGCUCUACCAGCUGAGCUAUCUCCCUAGCCAGUCCAGUCUUUGAGGGUGGAGAGCAGUGGAUGGCAAAAACUGCCAGACGUUGGGGACUCUGUCCACAAGGGGGCACUCUUGGCCACAUAGGGCUUAUCUUCCAUCUUGGGUGGACAACUCUGACCUCAGACUUCAUGGAUUCGGAAACCAGCAGAUCACUUAUGAGGCAAGUUACUUAAUCUCCCUUUGCCUGUUUCUUUCCUAGUUGUAAAAUAGGAAUGGUAAUAAUGCUACCUUUCUGAGAAUGGCGUCGGGUCUAUGGAAACAGCUUCAGAGUUCCUGUCAUAUAGUUAGUACUUUGUAAGCAUGUUCCAUAAUUCUUUGCCAAAAUGUAGCUGGUGUCAUUGUUGCAAAACUUCAGAUUGUGACUUCUUUUUUUAUAUAUUUACUUAUUCUCUUUUGUGCCCUUGUUGUUUCAUUGUUGUCGUCGUUGUUGGAUAGGACAGAGAGAAAUCGAGAGGGGAGGGGAAGACAGAGAGGGGGAGAGAAAGAUAGAUACCUGCAGACCUGCUUCACCGCUUGUGAAGCAACUCCUCUGCAGGUGGGGAGCUGGGGGCUGGAACUGGGAUCUUUAGGUGGAUCCUUGCACUUUGUGUCACGUGCGCUUAACCCACUGCGCUACCGCCCCUCCCCAGAUUGUGACUUCUGUGUCCCCUUGAGAGUGCUAGCACAUCUCCAACAACACUGGAAAGACCCACCUCCUUGUCUGCCACAACACUUCUCCCAUCCUUACUUAGCUGUGCCUGAGUCUUCAUUCAUGCUGUUCCUUCUGCCUAGAAUGCCUUUUCCUGCCACCACCACCAACCCCCUCCAGUGCUGCCUGGAAAGCCCAUAUCCAUCUGCAAAACAUCAUCCCCAGGGGUCUACUGGGGAUCCUUCCUGAUGCCCCAGGCAGUGGUCACCACCCUUCCCAGAGCUCUUAGUCAUACCUCCAUGACAGCCUGUCAUAUACAUUGUCCCCUACCCACAAGGGCUCUCAAGGGCAGAGUCUUCUCAGCACCUCCUAGCAUGCCUACUAUAUAGUAAAUAUUCUUCAGAAAAAAAUGUUUGUUGAAUGGCUGAAUGAACAACCAAAGAAACAUGAACGUUUAGGGCAUAAUAUGAAGUUAGUCCCUCCCAGACCUCAAGUGGAAAUGGAGGAAGCUAGGGCCCCCCACAUGAGGC